UACGAAGGACCCAAGCGUUAUCCGGAUUCAUUGGGUUUAAAGGGUGCGUAGGCGGGCCUAUAAGUCAGUGGUGAAAGCCCUUCGCUUAACGAAGGAAUUGCCAUUGAUACUGUAGGUCUUGAGUACAGUUGAGGUGGGCGGAAUGUGUCAUGUAGCGGUGAAAUGCUUAGAUAUGACACAGAACACCGAUUGCGAAGGCAGCUCGCUAAACUGUAACUGACGCUGAGGCACGAAAGCGUGGGGAGCAAACAGG
rnacentral:rRNA from 1 species